rnacentral:rRNA from 1 species
CAUUUAAAGAGUGCGUAAUAGCUCACUAGUCGAGUGACACUGCGCCGAAAAUGUACCGGGGCUAAACAUAUUACCGAAGCUGUGGAUUGUCCUUUGGACAAUGGUAGGAGAGCGUUCUAAGGGCGUUGAAGCAUGAUCGUAAGGACAUGUGGAGCGCUUAGAAGUGAGAAUGCCGGUGUGAGUAGCGAAAGACGGGUGAGAAUCCCGUCCACCGAUUGACUAAGGUUUCCAGAGGAAGGCUCGUCCGCUCUGGGUUAGUCGGGUCCUAAGCUGAGGCCGACAGGCGUAGGCGAUGGAUAACAGGUUGAUAUUCCUGUACCACCUAUAAUCGUUUUAAUCGAUGGGGGGACGCAGUAGGAUAGGCGAAGCGUGCGAUUGGAUUGCACGUCUAAGCAGUAAGGCUGAGUAUUAGGCAAAUCCGGUACUCGUUAAGGCUGAGCUGUGAUGGGGAGAAGACAUUG